rnacentral:rRNA from 1 species
CUACGGGGUGCUCCAGUGGGGAAUAUUGCGCAAUGGGCGCAAGCCUGAUGCAGCCAUGCCGCGUGUAUGAAGAAGGCCUUCGGGUUGUAAAGUACUUUCAGCGGGGAGGAAGGGAGUAAAGUUAAUACCUUUGCUCAUUGACGUUACCCGCAGAAGAAGCACCGGCUAACUCCGUGCCAGCAGCCGCGGUAAUACGGAGGGUGCAAGCGUUAAUCGGAAUUACUGGGCGUAAAGCGCACGCAGGCGGUUUGUUAAGUCAGAUGUGAAAUCCCCGGGCUCAACCUGGGAACUGCAUCUGAUACUGGCAAGCUUGAGUCUCGUAGAGGGGGGUAGAAUGCCAGGUGUAGCGGUGAAAUGCGUAGAGAUCUGGAGGAAUACCGGUGGCGAAGGCGGCCCCCUGGACGAAGACUGACGCUCAGGUGCGAAAGCGUGGGGAGCAAACAGGAUUAGAUACCCCAGUAGUC